GGAAUCUUGAUGAUGCUGC
rnacentral:miRNA from 1 species